rnacentral:rRNA from 1 species
GACGAACGCUGGCGGCGUGCCUAAUACAUGCAAGUAGAACGCACAGUUUAUACCGUAGCUUGCUACACCAUAGACUGUGAGUUGCGAACGGGUGAGUAACGCGUAGGUAACCUGCCUGGUAGCGGGGGAUAACUAUUGGAAACGAUAGCUAAUACCGCAUAAUAUUAAUUAUUGCAUGAUAAUUAAUUGAAAGGUGCAAUUGCACCACUACCAGAUGGACCUGCGUUGUAUUAGCUAGUAGGUGAGGUAACGGCUCACCUAGGCGACGAUACAUAGCCGACCUGAGAGGGUGAUCGGCCACACUGGGACUGAGACACGGCCCAGACUCCUACGGGAGGCAGCAGUAGGGAAUCUUCGGCAAUGGACGAAAGUCUGACCGAGCAACGCCGCGGGAGUGAAGAAGGGUUUCGGAUCGGAAAGCUCUGUUGUAAGAGAAGAACGGGUGUGAGAGUGGAAAGUUCACACUGUGACGGUAUCUUACCAGAAAGGGACGGCUAACUACGUG